rnacentral:rRNA from 1 species
AGUGAACGCUGGCGGUAGGCCUAACACAUGCAAGUCGAACGGCAGCACAGUAAGAGCUUGCUCUUACGGGUGGCGAGUGGCGGACGGGUGAGGAAUACAUCGGAAUCUACUUUUUCGUGGGGGAUAACGUAGGGAAACUUACGCUAAUACCGCAUACGACCUACGGGUGAAAGCAGGGGAUCUUCGGACCUUGCGCGAUUGAAUGAGCCGAUGUCGGAUUAGCUAGUUGGCGGGGUAAAGGCCCACCAAGGCGACGAUCCGUAGCUGGUCUGAGAGGAUGAUCAGCGACACUGGAACUGAGACACGGUCCAGACUCCUACGGGAGGCAGCAGUGGGGAAUAUUGGACAAUGGGCGCAAGCCCGAUCCAGCCAUACCGCGUGGGUGAAGAAGGCCUUCGGGUUGUAAAGCCCUUUUGUUGGGAAAGAAAAGCAGCAGGUUAAUACCACGCUGUUCUGACGGUACCCAAAGAAUAAGCACCGGCUAACUUCGUG